rnacentral:rRNA from 1 species
GACUUCGGUUCUGAUGGCGACCGGCGCACGGGUGAGUAACGCGUACACUACCUACCUUUAACAGAGGGAUAGCCCUGGGAAACUGGGAUUAAUACCACAUAGUAUUGCAUAUUUUAUUUUUAUGCAAUUAAAGCUCCGGCGGUUAAAGAUGGGUGUGCGUUAGAUUAGCUAGUUGGUAAGGUAAUGGCUUACCAAGGCUACGAUCUAUAGGGGGCGUGAGAGCGUGGACCCCCACACGGGUACUGAGACACGGACCCGACUCCUACGGGAGGCAGCAGUAAGGAAUAUUGGACAAUGGGCGCAAGCCUGAUCCAGCCAUCCCGCGUGAAGGAUGACGGCCCUAUGGGUUGUAAACUUCUUUUAUUAGGGAAGAAACCUUUUCAUUUAUGAAGAGCUGACGGUACCUAAAGAAUAAGCACCGGCUAACUCCGUGCCAGCAGCCGCGGUAAUACGGAGGGUGCAAGCGUUAUCCGGAAUCACUGGGUUUAAAGGGUGCGUAGGCGGAUA